rnacentral:rRNA from 1 species
CUGAAUAUGGGGGGACCAUCCUCCAAGGCUAAAUACUCCUGACUGACCGAUAGUGAACCAGUACCGUGAGGGAAAGGCGAAAAGAACCCCGGCGAGGGGAGUGAAAAAGAACCUGAAACCGUGUACGUACAAGCAGUGGGAGCACGCUUCGGCGUGUGACUGCGUACCUUUUGUAUAAUGGGUCAGCGACUUAUAUUCUGUAGCAAGGUUAACCGAAUAGGGGAGCCGAAGGGAAACCGAGUCUUAACUGGGCGUUAAGUUGCAGGGUAUAGACCCGAAACCCGGUGAUCUAGCCAUGGGCAGGUUGAAGGUUGGGUAACACUAACUGGAGGACCGAACCGACUAAUGUUGAAAAAUUAGCGGAUGACUUGUGGCUGGGGGUGAAAGGCCAAUCAAACCGGGAGAUAGCUGGUUCUCCCCGAAAGCUAUUUAGGUAGCGCCUCGUGAAUUCAUCUCCGGGGGUAGAGCACUGUUUCGGCAAGGGGGUCAUCCCGACUUACCAACCCGAUGCAAACUGCGAAUACCGGAGAAUGUUAUCACGGGAGACACACGGCGGGUGCUAACGUCCGUCGUGAAGAGGGAAACAACCCAGACCGCCAGCUAAGGUCCCAAAGUCAUGGUUAAGUGGGAAACGAUGUGGGAAGGCCCAGACAGCCAGGAUGUUGGCUUAGAAGCAGCCAUCAUUUAAAGAAAGCGUAAUAGCUCACUGGUCGAGUCGGCCUGCGCGGAAGAUGUAACGGGGCUAAACCAUGCACCGAAGCUGCGGCAGCGACACUAUGUGUUGUUGGGUAGGGGAGCG